UAAACAGCUUGAAAAUGAUGACGUCAGAAGUCAAUAUGUAACAACGUAUGGGCCAGACUGGAUAUGACCUGACCAUAGUCAACAGCAUGUGGUGGGUAGCCCCCCUCAUCUCUCAUACUUGUGUAGCGUAUAGCGUAUCCCCGUACGUUAGCAUAUCCCCGUACGUUACUGUAUUCCCGUACGUUAGCGUAUCCCCGUACUGUAUCCCCAUACGUUAGCGUAUCCCCGUACAUUAGCGUACGGAGUCUGCCUUUGCAUAAAAGCUGCUGCUCACGAUUCUUUUAUAGCCAGUUAGUUAAUUUAGUUGCCAGUCAGUUAAUUUCGCUUCCAGUACAUUUCAAUUGCCAGUUACAGUGUGUUCACUGAGACCCUUGUAUUUUUGCCUCCGAGAGACUGCGGCCCGCUACAAAUUGGUGACAGCGGUAAAUUCAUUUUGUUUCAUUCUAUACCUAACUUUGUUACUUUACACGUUUCUCCGAUUCAAUGGCUCAACCGAAUGUACCUGCCGUGGUACCCGUCGUUGCACCCGCUGCAGCCCCAGCUCCGCCCGGUCCUGCCCAACCACCGAGAGCUGCGUACCAUGUGCAGCCCGAAAAAUACAAAGGUCGCCUGGGGGACAACUUCGCGUCCUGGCUGAUGCAUUUCGACCAGGUCGCCGCGGUAAACAACUGGACCCCAGUUCAGCAGACGCAGUUCCUGGGCCUCGCACUGGAAGGCGAGGCCCAGCUGUAUUACCAAUCGCUUCCAGCGGCCACCAGGAACGGAGGCCACCAACAGCUAGUCCAGGCGCUGCAAGCUCGGUUUGAUCCAGCGCAGCGCGUCGACCUCCAUCGCGCAACGUUUCAAGCUCGUCGCCAGGCCAAAGACGAACAACUGGGUACUUUCUGUGAGGCGGUUCGCUCCCUGGCCCGGCAAGCUUACCCCCAGAUGGCCGCGGGGGACCUCGACAACCUAACAAAAGACCAGUUUAUCUCCGGGCUUGACUCGCGGGGCAUGCGGGUCCGCGUUCAGGAGCUAAACCCGCAAACGACAGACGGGGCCCUCCAGGCCGCGCUCCAUCACCAGGCAAUCCUAGCUGCCGAACUGCCCGCCGCGGAACCUGUGCCGAUCCCUGCCUUUGCUGUUUCCCAGCCACUCGACACGGUGACAGACCAACUAAAAGCUGUGUUAGACCGUCUGGCUACGUUGGAGGCCAGUCUGCCAGGACCAAUUCGUCGGUCCCGACCUGACCAACUACCACAGCCUCCGCAGACGCAAGGCCGCACACCUGUCACUUGCUGGUCAUGUGGCCGACAAGGUCACAUCAGCCGAGAAUGCCGUGCCCGUCGUCCUGCGCAGGCGGGAAACUACCGGCGGCAGUACUAAGUACCUCGGACGCUAGCCCUGCCGCAUCCUGCUCUUCCGGGACCUACGUAAGCACUGUGUUGAUAUGCCUUGCUGUCUUGCUCCUUGCCCACCCUGUUACGCUCACGAUUUUAACUGUUUUGCUCACUGUGCUGUACCGCCACCGCCUCCCUGAUGUACGUGCUUUUCUCCCCGACCUCUCCCCAUUACACUUUUUUUCGUCGAGUUUGUCCCGACGCGACCAUGCAUGCCGCCUACCUGUAAUACCCGUGACUGUGAACGCAGUCGAUUCCAAUGCUUUGUUAGACAGUGGGUCUUCCAAGUCAAUUGUGAGCAAGAAGCUGUGGGAUUCUCUGAGUAAUCGCCCAUCCCUGUCCCCUCCACCCCCCUCACGCAUCCUUUCUGUGGAUGGCUCGUCCGUGGCGAUUUUAGGUCAAGCUGAGUUGCACAUUUCUGUUUCGCCCACCACCCCGCCUGUCCUGCAUGAGUUCUUAGUUGCCUCCAUCCAUCCCGAGGUCAUUCUAGGGGUUGAAUUUUUGCAUGCCCAAGCGUGUUCGCUUGAUUUCGCCGCUUCCAACAUGUCCAUUGCUGGUCACGUUAUUCCCCUGCAUUCCCCCACUGUGAUCCCGUCACCUGUCCAUGCCGCUUCGCUCUCCGCUACUCCCGUUUUAUGCACGCUUCCCGCUGCUGUGACCGUCCCUGCCAUGUCUCAUUACAUUUGCUCCGCAAAAGUUGCUUCCUGCCAUUAUUCUGAUAGCCCCCUGCUGUUUGAGCCUUGUGAGUCUACCUGCAGUACUCACCACAUUGUCGGCCUCGCUACUCUGGCUACCGUCACUGAUAACAUGGUGCCCGUCCGUCUGAUCAACCCCAACGAGCAGUGAGGUCCAGAGAUUGGAGCAUUCCAGUGCAUCCGGCGGGGAUGAACACAACCUUGAUGUUGUGUGCACCAAGCUUUUCCAGGACUAAUGCACAGCGGUGGGCCUUGAAUACAUCCCACAAGAACAAUCCUGGGGCAUCAGUUGGCAGACCCAACUCCUCCCUCUGCUUGGCCAUGAAUGGAGAUAGCACUUUCUCAAUAAACUCCAACAUCGUCUUUUCCGUGGACCAGUGGCUGUCGGAGGACAUUUCUAGACGGGUGACAGCGGUUGGUGUUGCCAGCGUAAAUCACUUGCGGCGGCAGCAGCUGACCACUCAGACUAACACCCAGUAGGAUGGUGACCUCCCGCUUGUCGUCUAAGCCAGCUACGUCGAUCUGCCAGCUCCCUUCAUAGUCCAGCUGCUGACAGGCACCAUCUUCGUACCUGUCUGGUCCGUGUUGACAACCAUGCUGGGCGUGGUGUGCGUUUCCACUGGUUGCUUUGACCUUCUGCAGGAAGUCGCUCUUGAUUGUUGCGAAGUCGGAAGGCACUUUCCUGGCGGUCCGAGUCCCUUUCCGUUUCACGUAUCCAAUUGGAGCAAGAAACGAUGGUGCCCAUGUUUUCUGAAGCGUCACGCUACCACCAAACUCCUUCAGCAAAGACACAUUCUUGUGCUGGACGAUGCCACCAGCUGCAGCCAGAACAGCGUUAGUGUUCACAGGAGUGGCAGCACAUCUAAGGCUGAAAACAAGCUUCUGAACGAGAUCAUCCAGUUCCUUCGGUAGAAGGAGCGGAUCACCUCGCGGACUGGCCGGCUUCGCGUCCACUUCGGCCAGCGUUUUCCCAGUAUCCAUCUGCUGUUUCGGAUUCCGCUUGAAAUUUCGGACGGUCGCUUCAUGGACUGGAUGUCUAAGCUCGCGAGUAAACGUCUGCACGGCGCUCUUGUUUCCGUACAGCAACGCUUGCUUGCCGGUUUUAGUUCGCACCUCGUUAUCGUAGGAAUGAGUCUUUGUCCUUUUCCGCUUCGAUCCAUCCUCGUCGUGAUCCGCAGCGUCCACUACUUCAGACACAGCUCUCUUACCUACAGCUAGUGCCCGCUGGUCGUCUUCGUCCCCCUCCUGUCGAGGAGUACAUACAAAUCGAUCAAUUUAGCCUGUCCAAUAGUGGUCAGUGACCCUUCAAGGGCCAGUAGCAACGAGGUUACGUCCUGAAAUUUGGGGUAGACCACCGCCAUAGUCUGCUACAAUAUGUCCCCAAGCAGAAAAAUUCAAAUUUCGAACUCUCCUAAGGCGAUGCCGUAGCAGAAUCCAACCUCUGGCAGGAAGGCACACACGGAGCGCCGUCAUAUGCCUUUUCGCUAAGGGGCGGGUUCCACUGCGGCUCUGCUGCUCCGCGGCACUUGGCUGCAUGCAGCGGAGCAGCGCGGUUCCACUGACACUCGCCAUUCGCGGUACCGCGUUCGUGCUCCACGUUUUACCUGCCUGCGCGUGCGAAAUCAAAAAAAGCCUCGUGUUCUGGCCUGCGCAACGAACGAGAGAGCUUGGAAGCUCAGGGCCCUAUGCUAUGCUUUUUUGCCUUGAUGACCUAGACAAAAAAAGCAUAGGGAUGUUAUAAAUUCUUAUAAGUUUCUACUUUUUGUUUUUAGACAUAACCUGGGAUUCGAACCCGCACUAUCGCCCUGCAUGCAUCCCCCGAUACACUUCGCAUACAUACUAAUUCUUCCAAGUUGCUUCACGUUAUGAUCUUGUAUUUGAAAGCCCUAUUUGAAUAUGCAUUGUGGCCAGCCAUCUUUGAUUGUACGGUACGGUACGGGAUAGGUACGGGACAGGUACGGGACAGGUACGGUCGAGGGUAAUACGACACCGUCUACCGCCUUGAUGACGGCAAAAAAAGAAAAGGGAUGUUAUAAAUUUUUCAAUUCUCCUAUUUUUUCAGGCAUUACCUGGGAUUCGAACCCGCACUAUCGCCCUACAUGCAUUCCCCCAUACACUUCGCAUUCAUACUCAUUCUUCCAAGUUGCUUCACGUUAUGAUCUUGCGUUUGAAAGCCCUAUUUGAAUAUUGCGGCCAGCUGUAUGUGGCCAGCUGUGUUUGAUGGUACGGUACGGUACGGGACAGAUACGGGAUAGCGCCAGGCGUGACACAAACACGCAAACACACAAACAAACAAACAAACACCAAACGAGAGAGCUUGGAAGCUCAGGGCCCUGCGCUAUGCUUUGUUGCCUAGCUCAUCGUGCAUGUUGUUAGAACUGAUGGAAAUGCUUUUUCCUUUGAUUAGCUAAAUCAUUGUUUUGCAAAAACGUUUCAAUGAGAUACUGAAGUACAA